rnacentral:rRNA from 1 species
AGAGUUUGAUCAUGGCUCAGGAUGAACGCUAGCUGGAGGCUUAAUACAUGCAAGUCGAGCGGGAUUGGUAGCAAUACCAUGAGAGCGGCGCACGGGUGAGUAACGCGUACACGACCUACCUCUGACAGGGGGAUAGCCCUGGGAAACUGGGAUUAAUACCGCAUAUUAUUCUGAUUAAUAAAGGAUUGGAAUGAAAGUUCAGGCGGUCAGAGAUGGGUGUGCGUCUGAUUAGCUAGUUGGUAGGGUAACGGCCUACCAAGGCGAUGAUCAGUAGGGGGCGUGAGAGCGUGGUCCCCCACACGGGUACUGAGACACGGACCCGACUCCUACGGGAGGCAGCAGUAAGGAAUAUUGGACAAUGGCCGCAAGGCUGAUCCAGCCAUCCAGCGUGCAGGAAGAAGGCCCUAUGGGUUGUAAACUGCUUUUAUCAGGGAAUAAACCUCUGGAUUCACUCCGGAGCUGAAGGUACCUGAAGAAUAAGCACCGGCUAACUCCGUGCCAGCAGCCGCGGUAAUACGGAGGGUGCGAGCGUUAUCCGGAAUUACUGGGUUUAAAGGGUGCGUAGGCGGCUUUGUAAGUCAGGAGUGAAAGUUUGCGGCUCAACCGUAAAAUUGCUUCUGAUACUGCAUGGCUAGAAUUAGGAUGAGGUCAGCGGAAUGUGGCAUGUAGCGGUGAAAUGCAUAGAUAUGCCAUAGAACACCAAUUGCGAAGGCAGCUGGCUAGACCUGGAUUGACGCUGAGGCACGAAAGCGUGGGGAGCGAACAGGAUUAGAUACCCUGGUAGUCCACGCCCUAAACGAUGCUUACUCGACGUAUGGCACUAGUUGUUGUGCGUCCAAGGGAAACCGUUAAGUAAGCCACCUGGGGAGUACGACCGCAAGGUUGAACUCAAGGAAUUGACGG